rnacentral:pre_miRNA from 1 species
AAAAAGACAAACACUGAGUUUCCAUGUUCAAUUUUUGACUGUCCGUCUUAUAUGAAAUUUUUUUAUAAUUACUUAUUUUUAUUGUUGUUAGAUGAUAAAAUAUAAUUAAUAUUUUAUGCGUGACUUGUCUUUUUAAAAUUUUUUUUAUAAUUUUUUAAAUAAGACGGACGGUUGGAAAC